UACCCUGUGGCGCAGUGGCUAGCGCUCUUGUUUUCAAAACUCACGGCGGGGGUUCGACCCCCACUGGUGGCA